GAUGAACGCUGACAGAAUGCUUAACACAUGCAAGUCCACUUGAAUUUGGGUUUUUAACUUAGGUUUGGGUGGCGGACGGGUGAGUAACGCGUAAAGAACUUGCCUCACAGCUAGGGACAACAUUUGGAAACGAAUGCUAAUACCUAAUAUUAUGAUAAUAGGGCAUCCUAUAAUUAUGAAAGCUAUAAGCGCUGUGAGAGAGCUUUGCGUCCCAUUAGCUAGUUGGAGAGGUAACGGCUCACCAAGGCGAUGAUGGGUAGCCGGCCUGAGAGGGUGAUCGGCCACAAGGGGACUGAGACACGGCCCUUACUCCUACGGGAGGCAGCAGUGGGGAAUAUGGGACAAUGGACCAAGAGUCUGAUCCAGCAAUUCUGUGUGCACGAUGAAGUUUUUCGGAAUGUAAAGUGCUUUCAGUUGGGAAGAAAGAAAUGACGGUACCAACAGAAGAAGUGACGGCUAAAUACGUG
rnacentral:rRNA from 1 species